rnacentral:rRNA from 1 species
UGGGGAAUAUUGGACAAUGGGGGAAACCCUGAUCCAGCAAUGCCGCGUGUGUGAAGAAGGCCUGAGGGUUGUAAAGCACUUUCAGUUGGGAGGAACGGUUUACGAUUAAUAGUCGUGAGCUUUGACGUUACCAACAGAAGAAGGACCGGCUAACUCCGUGCCAGCAGCCGCGGUAAUACGGAGGGUCCAAGCGUUAAUCGGAAUUACUGGGCGUAAAGCGCACGUAGGUGGAUAGGCAAGUUGGAUGUGAAAGCCCUGGGCUUAACCUGGGAACUGCAUUCAAAACUGCUCAUCUAGAGUACAGGAGAGGGAAGUGGAAUUUCCGGUGUAGCGGUGAAAUGCGUAGAUAUCGGAAGGAACACCAGUGGCGAAGGCGACUUCCUGGACUGAUACUGACACUCAGGUGCGAAAGCGUGGGGAGCAAACAGG